AUGAGGAAGAGGAAGACACCACCCAUAAGUAAUUUUUUCAAGUCAAUUGCUUCAAACUCUACAGUUGAAAAUGCAAAUGCAACCGUGGAGGUCGAUGUCACAGAGCAACCCACUGAUCAUAAUGUCCCCAAUCUCAGUUCAGUUGAUAUGCCACCCCCUGAGCAAAAUAUCGAGGCAUCUGUAGAAGUAGAAGUUCUAGAACAACAAAGAAUCCGAAGCACACCAUUCGAGCGAGACCCUGGAAAGCGCAAACAGAUUUAGGAACUCCCUUUUGAUAAGCAAAAUGAAGCACGCCAAUUCUAUAUUUCUGAAGGCCGAUACGUGCCAUACAUGAGAGAGUAUCCAUAUAAUGAUGAUCCACCGAAACAUCGUCGGCGUUUCCAGUACAGUUGGUUCAAGGAUUUUAAAUGGCUCGAGUUUUCACCUUACACAAAGCGUGCAUAUUGCUUCCAUUGUUUCCUCUUCUCAAGAAAGCCGAUUGGGAAGUGCGGCUCAGAAACAUUUACUGUUUUGGGCUUUGAUAGGUGGAAGAAGGUGAAUAAUGGGAAAGAGUGUGCUUUUUUAACUCAUAUGGGUAAAGAUGCUGGUUCAGCCCAUAACUUCUCAGUUCGUUGUUAUGAUAAUUUUAAAAACGGCAUGACUCAUAUUGAUAAGCUGUAUGGGAAAGCAUCCGCAAAAACAAUUUUAGAUGCAAGGCUAAGCCUCAAAGUUACAAUUGAUUCCAUCCGGUGGUUAACAUUCCAGGCUUGUGCUUUUAGAGGGCAUGAUGAAUCUCCGGGAUCCAUUAACCGGGGUAAUUUCCUAGAACUGGUAAAACUUUUGGCUUCUUAUAACAAGGAGGUGAAUGAUGUUGUCUUGGAAAAUGCUCCUGGAAACGCAAAGUACACAUCUCAUCAGGUUCAAGAGGAAAUUCUUGCUAUACUUUCUCGAAAGGUGCAAAGAACAAUUAGAGAAGAAAUUGGUGAUAGCAAAUUUUGUAUAAUGGUUGACGAAGCUCGCGAUGAAUCCAAGAAAGAACAAAUGGCGUUGGUCCUUCGGUUUCCUGACACUGAAGGGUUCAUACAGGAGCGUUUUGUUGAUGUCAUUCAUGUGAAUGACACUCUUGCAUUGACUCUCAAAGAGACAAUUUGCACUGUUCUAGCAAAUAACAAUUUAAAUGUGGAAGGUAUCAGAGGUCAGGCCUAUGACGGGGCCAGUAAUAUGCGAGGGGAGUGGAACGGAUUGAAGGCUUUAAUUCUGAAGGCGUGCCCUUAUGCAUAUUACAUUCAUUGUAUGGCGCAUCAGCUUCAGUUAGCCCUUGUUGCAGCAUCACGAGAGGUACAUGAAGUGCAUAAUUUUUUUCAACAUGCCAAUUUUGUCAUAAAUGUUGUUAGUGCUUCACCUAAACGCAAUGAUGAGUUACUAGCAAAUCAAGCUGCCGAAAUUGCCCUCCUACGAAGUAUAGCAAAUGAUCGUUCGGUGACACAAUAUUCCCGUGGAGAUGCUGGAGGCGCCUUAAGGAUAAUUGUUUCUUUUGAUUUUGUGUUCAUUUUGCACCUCAUGGAGAGGAUUAUGAAAAUCACAGAUGUCUUGUGCCAAACACUACAGAAGAAAUCUAUGGACAUUCUGAAUGCAUUAGAUACACUCUCUAACACUAAGGUGCUCCUCGCUGAACUAAGAGAGGAAGGAUGGGAACCUCUCAUCGAGGAGGUUAAGACCUUUUGUGUGAAGCAUGAAGUUGAGAUCCCCGAUAUGAGUCGCAAUAACAUCACGGUGCUUCACCACUACAAAGCAGAUGUGUUCAAUGUGGCGAUAGAUCAACAACUGGUUGAGCUAAAUGACCGUUUUAGUGUUCAGACUACAGAGCUAAUGACACUCUGUGCAUGUAAAGCCUCUGUGUAUCCAAUGGUUGAUAGAUUAUUGUGCUUGGUCAUCACUCUCCCGGUGUCAACUGCAACUGCGGAGAGAGCUUUUUCAGCAAUGAAGAUUAUCAAGACGCGUCUCCGAAGUAAAAUGGGUGACGAUUUUCUUCGACCUUACAUGGUUGUAUACAUUGGGAAGGAAAUAGCUGCAAAGUUCAAUGUUAACGAGAUUAUUGAUUUGUUUGAUCGACCGGCUGGGGGGCGUAGAUCUGCAUUCAAACUAGUAGAAAUGUAG
rnacentral:rRNA from 1 species